AAGACCUUGCGUUAUUCGAGCGGCCGACGUCUGAUUAGCUAGUUGGUGGGGUAAAGGCCUACCAAGGCGACGAUCAGUAGCGGGUCUGAGAGGAUGAUCCGCCACACUGGAACUGAGACACGGUCCAGACUCCUACGGGAGGCAGCAGUGGGGAAUUUUGGACAAUGGGGGCAACCCUGAUCCAGCCAUUCCGCGUGAGUGAAGAAGGCCUUCGGGUUGUAAAGCUCUUUCAGCCGGAACGAAACGGUUACGGUUAAUACCCGUGACUACUGACGGUACCGGAAGAAGAAGCACCGGCUAACUACGUGCCAGCAGCCGCGGUAAUACGUAGGGUGCAAGCGUUAAUCGGAAUUACUGGGCGUAAAGCGUGCGCAGGUGGUUUUGUAAGUCAGAUGUGAAAUCCCCGGGCUUAACCUGGGAACU
rnacentral:rRNA from 1 species